UUGUGGGGGUUAGCAACACUCCUGAAGUUCGGGAGCCGCCUAUGGGCACGAUGUCUCUCGAAGGACGUCUUUAAGGUGGCGAGAUUCCUUUCCCGGGCCAGGUGCUCCGAGCCAGCGAGCGAGCCUGUUAACGACUCUGGCCCACUGACUCCGUUGUAUGAUCAUGGUCUACCUACUGUUCUUGGUUAUAGGCACCGUCUGUGUUUUCACUGCUACCGAGGUUUGGUAGCCGCCUAUGGUCAAGAUGUUCAUUGAAGGAGGUCUGUAAUAAGGCGAGAUUAGAAUCUGAGGACAGACGCACCCAGGGAACACCGUGCAGAUACACUGCAUCGAGUCUACCCCGGCACUACCAGCGAACAAGCUUCGGCUGUUUGUGUAGGAACAACCCCUGUGCUCAGUGGUGAAGAGAAUAAAAGAAUUGUAUUGAUUGGGUUGAAGACUUUGCAUGGUGAAAUGGACGCGAAGUGUUGAAUACUUUGUUUGGUGAAAUGGACGCCUAAGUGAAUGCAAUAUCUGAAAAUGGAUUGUUGAAUACUAGUAUGAUGUAUGGAUCAACAAUUAUGAAACAUUCAAGAUCCACUGUGAGUGAUGUUGAAGGCUUCAACUGUAUUAAUGUUCGUUAAACUUGUCAAGUGAGUGAGUGUCGAGUCUGCCAGUAAGUGACGAAGUACUAAUAUCGCCCUUGAGGGAUGCCCGAGUUUCCAAAUGCUACUGAGGUUUGUCUCACCCCGCCAAGUUAAGUCAGUUUAACUCAGUUAAAUUGGGUGAAUAUCAGUGUUCAUGUUUUAACAUAGCUAAUUAUAAUAACAGUAACGUAAGCAUAAGCAUCGUGUGUAUCGUUGCCAGAUGUAUGGUUAUGAGUAGUUGAGGUUCGACCUUUUAACACGCUCAUGACUCUUCCUCAUCGCAUCUCCAGGCACUGUCUGUGUUUUCACCGCUACCGAGGUUCGGUAGCCGCCUAUGGUCAAGAUGUUCAUUGAAGGAGGUCUGUAAUAAGGCGAGAUUAGAAUCUGAGGACAGACGCACCCAGGGAACACCGUGCAGAUACACUGCAUCGAGUCUACCCCGGCACUACCAGCGAACAAGCUUCGGCUGUUUGUGUAGUAACAACCCCCAUGCCCAGUGUAAUUAAAUCCUGCCGGGUGCUCUAAUCUUGGUUAUAUAUGCUAAGCAGUAUUCUUAUACAUAAUUGGGGAUAAUUAGCAGAAAUAUAAUUGCCCUUGGUUAAGUAUUGAAAUCAUACACAUGGCUAUUGCCAGUGUUAAUGCCUGUUAUAUGGGUUGUUACCCAAGGUGAGAUACGGUAAGAUUCCGUGUUGUUCAUUCCGAAUAACAUGAUGAUGUAACUAAUGUGGUAAUAUCUAUGAUGUUGACAAGGUUGUAAAAUAACCACCUGUAUUGUCAAAGAUGCAAUAUAACAAUUAUGGAGUGUUGUAAUAAAUAAUUGAAGAUC